GAUGAACGCUGGCGGCGUGCCUAACACAUGCAAGUCGAGCGGUAAGGCCCUUCGGGGUACACGAGCGGCGGACGGCUGAGUAACGCGUGGGAACGUGCCCCAAAGUGAGGAAUAACUGCCCGAAAGGGUAGCUAAUGCCGCAUAUGGUCUUCGGAUUAAAGUAUUUAUACGCUUUGGGAGCGGCCCGCGUCGGAUUAGGUUGUUGGUAGGGUAAAGGCCUACCAAGCCAACGAUCCGUAGCUGGUCUGAGAGGAUGAUCAGCCAGACUGGGACUGAGACACGGCCCAG
rnacentral:rRNA from 1 species